rnacentral:rRNA from 3 species
AGCAACAAAUGCCCUGCUUCCAGGAAAAGCCUCUAAGCAUCAGGUAACAUCAAAUCGUACCCCAAACCGACACAGGUGGUCAGGUAGAGAAUACCAAGGCGCUUGAGAGAACUCGGGUGAAGGAACUAGGCAAAAUGGUGCCGUAACUUCGGGAGAAGGCACGCUGACACGUAGGUGAAGUGAUUUACUCAUGGAGCUGAAGUCAGUCGAAGAUACCAGCUGGCUGCAACUGUUUAUUAAAAACACAGCACUGUGCAAACACGAAAGUGGACGUAUACGGUGUGACGCCUGCCCGGUGCCGGAAGGUUAAUUGAUGGGGUCAGCGCAAGCGAAGCUCCUGAUCGAAGCCCCGGUAAACGGCGGCCGUAACUAUAACGGUCCUAAGGUAGCGAAAUUCCUUGUCGGGUAAGUUCCGACCUGCACGAAUGGCGUAAUGAUGGCCAGGCUGUCUCCACCCGAGACUCAGUGAAAUUGAACUCGCUGUGAAGAUGCAGUGUACCCGCGGCAAGACGGAAAGACCCCGUGAACCUUUACUAUAGCUUGACACUGAACAUUGAGCCUUGAUGUGUAGGAUAGGUGGGAGGCUUUGAAGUGUGGACGCCAGUCUGCAUGGAGCCGACCUUGAAAUACCACCCUUUAAUGUUUGAUGUUCUAACGUGGACCCGUGAUCCGGGUUGCGGACAGUGUCUGGUGGGUAGUUUGACUGGGGCGGUCUCCUCCUAAAGAGUAACGGAGGAGCACGAAGGUUGGCUAAUCCUGGUCGGACAUCAGGAGGUUAGUGCAAUGGCAUAAGCCAGCUUGACUGCGAGCGUGACGGCGCGAGCAGGUGCGAAAGCAGGUCAUAGUGAUCCGGUGGUUCUGAAUGGAAGGGCCAUCGCUCAACGGAUAAAAGGUACUCCGGGGAUAACAGGCUGAUACCGCCCAAGAGUUCAUAUCGACGGCGGUGUUUGGCACCUCGAUGUCGGCUCAUCACAUCCUGGGGCUGAAGUAGGUCCCAAGGGUAUGGCUGUUCGCCAUUUAAAGUGGUACGCGAGCUGGGUUUAGAACGUCGUGAGACAGUUCGGUCCCUAUCUGCCGUGGGCGCUGGAGAACUGAGGGGGGCUGCUCCUAGUACGAGAGGACCGGAGUGGACGCAUCACUGGUGUUCGGGUUGUCAUGCCAAUGGCACUGCCCGGUAGCUAAAUGCGGAAGAGAUAAGUGCUGAAAGCAUCUAAGCACGAAACUUGCCCCGAGAUGAGUUCUCCCUGAGACUUAAAGUCUCCUGAAGGAACGUUGAAGACGACGACGUUGAUAGGCCGGGUGUGUAAGCGCAGCGAUGCGUUGAGCUAACCGGUACUAAUGAACCGUGAGGCUUAACCUUACA